rnacentral:rRNA from 1 species
ACACGACCGUACCGCAAACCGACACUGGUGCGCGAGAUGAGUAUUCUAAGGCGCUUGAGAGAACUCAGGAGAAGGAACUCGGCAAAUUGACACCGUAACUUCGGAAGAAGGUGUGCCUUUAGUAGGUGAAGUCCCUCGCGGAUGGAGCCCAAUGAGGUUGCAAAAAAUCGGUGGCUGCGACUGUUAUUAAAAACACAGCACUCUGCAAACACGAAAGUGGACGUAUAGGGUGUGACGCCUGCCCGGUGCUGGAAGAUUAAAUGAUGGGGUGCAAGCUCUUGAUUGAAGUCCCAGUAAACGGCGGCCGUAACAAUAACGGUCCUAAGGUAGCGAAAUUCCUUGUCGGGUAAGUUCCGACCUGCACGAAUGGCGUAACGAUGGCCACACUGUCUCCUCCUGAGACUCAGCGAAGUUGAAAUGUUUGUGAUGAUGCAAUCUCCCCGCGGAAAGACGGAAAGACCCCAUGAACCUUUACUGUAGCUUUGUAUUGGACUUUGAACAGAUCUGUGUAGGAUAGGUGGGAGGCUUUGAAGCAGGGUCGCUAGAUCUUGUGGACCAACGUUGAAAUACCACCCUGGUGUGUUUGAGGUUCUAACCUAGGCCCGUAAUCCGGGUUGGGGACAGUGCAUGGUAGGCAGUUUGACUGGGGCGGUCUCCUCCCAAAGUGUAACGGAGGAGUUCGAAGGUACGCUAGUUACGGUCGGACAUCGUGACGAUAGUGCAAUGGCAUAAGCGUGCUUAACUGCGAGACUGACAAGUCGAGCAGAUGCGAAAGCAGGACAUAGUGAUCCGGUGGUUCUGUAUGGAAGGGCCAUCGCUCAACGGAUAAAAGGUACUCUGGGGAUAACAGGCUGAUACCGCCCAAGAGUUCAUAUCGACGGCGGUGUUUGGCACCUCGAUGUCGGCUCAUCUCAUCCUGGGGCUGUAGCCGGUCCCAAGGGUAUGGCUGUUCGCCAUCUAAAGAGGUACGUGAGCUGGGUUUAAAACGUCGUGAGACAGUUUGGUCCCUAUCUUCCGUGGGCGCUGCAGAUUUGAGGAAGCCUGCUCCUAGUACGAGAGGACCGGAGUGGACGCACCUCUGGUGUAUCGGUUGUCACGCCAGUGGCAUUGCCGAGUAGCUAUGUGCGGAAGAGAUAACCGCUGAAAGCAUCUAAGCGGGAAACUCGUUUCAAGAUGAGAUCUGCCGGGGCCUUGAGCCCCCUGAAGAGUCGUUCAAGACCAGGACGUUGAUAGGUCGGGUGUGGAAGCGCAGUAAUGCGUUAAGCUAACCGAUACUAAUUGCUCGUGCGGCUUGACCU